rnacentral:rRNA from 1 species
AUUGAACGCUGGCGGCAGGCCUAACACAUGCAAGUCGAGCGAGCGGCGGACGGGUGAGUAAUGUCUGGGAAACUGCCUGAUGGCGGGGGAUAAAUACUGGAAACGGUAGCUAAUACCGCAUACCAUACGAUGUGCCCAGAUGGGAUUAGCUAGUAGGUGGGGUAACGGCUCACCUAGGCGACGAUCCCUAGCUGGUCUGAGAGGAUGACCAGCCACACUGGAACUGAGACACGGCCCAGACUCCGACGGGAGGCAGCAGUGGGGAAUAUUGCACAAUGGGCGCAAGCCUGAUCCAGCCAUGCCGCGUGUGUGAAGAAGGCCUUCGGGUUGUAAAGCACUUUCGGCGGGGAGGCGUUACCCGCAGAAGAAGCACCGGCUAACUCCGUGCCAGCAGCCGCGGUAAUUC